rnacentral:rRNA from 1 species
UACUGCACAAUGGGGGAAACCCUGAUGCAGCGACGCCGCGUGAGUGAGGAAGUAUUUCGGUAUGUAAAGCUCUAUCAGCAGGGAAGAANNUGACGGUACCUGACUAAGAAGCCCCGGCGAAUUACGUGCCAGCAGCCGCGGUAAUACGUAGGGGGCAAGCGUUAUCCGGAUUUACUGGGGGUAAAGGGAGCCUAGACGGAAUUGCAAGUCUGAUGUGAAAAUCCGGGGCCCAACCCCGGAACUGCAUUGGAAACUGUAUUUCUAGAGUGUCGGAGAGGCAAGUGGAAUUCCUGGUGUAGCGGUGAAAUGCGUAGGUAUCAGGAGGAACACCAGUGGCGAAGGCGGCUUGCUGGACGAUGACUGACGUUGAGGCUCGAAAGCGUGGGGAGCAAACAGG